CACUAUUUUAUAUUCAAGAAUCCUAGGUGGGGAUGAUACCACCUACGCUAUAUUAGUGAGCAGUAUUUCCUGCUCACUUAAAUGUGAGUAUUUUAUACAUAUUUUAUUUUUCUUAAGUAUCUAUACAUACAGUGAGCACUAUUCUGUGUUAUCCUCUUCUUUCCCGAGAAUCUCGGCCACGGAUUCAUGUCUACAUCCCACCAGUGGGGGACCAGUACCACUGAAUGCGACAUACACCUGAGCUAGUUUUAGCUCUAAUAUAGGUGAGUGUGAUACCUUUUCACUUUGUAUUUCUAUAAAGAAGCGGAAAAGACUAUCUAUACCAUUGGAGCUUUUAUUUUGUUCUCUUUUGCAUAUUGGCACCUGGAACAAGACGUCAUAUCCAUUUCCUUUAUUCUACAAGGACUGUUUCUUUUCCCUCAAGCGGACUUUACCAUCCUUGGUUUAUUUUAGGACUUUUU